rnacentral:ncRNA from 1 species
GAUAGCUGGUUCUCCCCGAAAGCUAUUUAGGUAGCGCCUCGUGAACUCAUCUUCGGGGGUAGAGCACUGUUUCGGGCUAGGGGGCCAUCCCGGCUUACCAACCCGAUGCAAACUACGAAUACCGAAGAAUGUUAUCACGGGAGACACACGGCGGGUGCUAACGUCCGGUCGUGAAGAGGGAAACAACCCAGACCGCCAGCUAAAGGUCCCAAAGUCAUGGUUAAGUGGGAAACGAUGUGGGAAGGCCCAGACAGCCAGGAUGUUGGCUUAGAAGCAGCCAUCAUUUAAAGAAAGCGUAAUAGCUCACUGGUCGAGUCGGCCUGCGCGGAAGAUGUAACGGGGCUAAACCAUGCACCGAAGCUGCGGCAGCGACACUAUGUGUUGUUGGGUAGGGGAGCGUUCUGUAAGCCGUUGAAGGUGGCCUGUGAGGGUUGCUGGAGGUAUCAGAAGUGCGAAUGCUGACAUAAGUAACGAUAAAGCGGGUGAAAAGCCCGCUCGCCGGAAGACCAAGGGUUCCUGUCCAACGUUAAUCGGGGCAGGGUGAGUCGACCCCUAAGGCGAGGCCGAAAGGCGUAGUCGAUGGGAAACAGGUUAAUAUUCCUGUACUUGGUGUUACUGCGAAGGGGGGACGGAGAAGGCUAUGUUAGCCGGGCGACGGUUGUCCCGGUUUAAGCAUGUAGGCGGAGGUUCCAGGUAAAUCCGGUACCUUUUUAACGCUGAGGUGUGAUGACGAGGCACUACGGUGCUGAAGUAACAAAUGCCCUGCUUCCAGGAAAAGCCUCUAAGCAUCAGGUAACAYGAAAUCGUACCCCAAACCGACACAGGUGGUCAGGUAGAGAAUACCAAGGCGCUUGAGAGAACUCGGGUGAAGGAACUAGGCAAAAUGGUGCCGUAACUUCGGGGAGAAGGCACGCUGAUGUGUAGGUGAAGCCCCUGCGGGUGGAGCUGAAAUCAGUCGAAGAUACCAGCUGGCUGCAACUGUUUAUUAAAAACACAGCACUGUGCAAACACGAAAGUGGACGUAUACGGUGUGACGCCUGCCCGGUGCCGGAAGGUUAAUUGAUGGGGUUAGCGGCAACGCGAAGCUCUUGAUCGAAGCCCCGGUAAACGGCGGCCGUAACUAUAACGGUCCUAAGGUAGCGAAAUUCCUUGUCGGGUAAGUUCCGACCUGCACGAAUGGCGUAAUGAUGGCCAGGCUGUCUCCACCCGAGACUCAGUGAAAUUGAACUCGCUGUGAAGAUGCAGUGUACCCGCGGCAAGACGGAAAGACCCCUGAACCUUUACUAUAGCUUGACACUGAACACUGGUCCUU